GUGACCUCAGACGAACAUUCGUGUAAAAAAUGGAUUGAAAUGGACAAUCAUAAAAUUUUGGGCUAUGGACUUAUUGAAGACAACUGUAUGGAAAUAAACAGAAACACAGAGGUGCUAUACAUUCUGAUGGAAAAGACAACAAAAGCAUCUCCCAUCAUUUUGGCGUGGCUCAGAUCAAGAGGAGAAAUUUAAAAAAGGUGAUGGUUGGGCACACACAAGAAGACAUAGAUCACAGGCGUAUAACAUAUGAGUAGACAGGAGUUUCACACUCUGCCAGACUUACUUCCUCAGACGAGCAGAUUUAGGCUUCUCAAGAUCACGCACUGCACACUAAGACAUAGUCUUUGACUACAACAAGGCCUUAGGGGAUGAAAGUACAGAGAGGUCCAAUUGAAAUCAAUUCUGUGCUGCGUCAUUUCUUCAUUGUAGAGGUUGAUGGACAUGAUUUAUGGCAUCAAGUGUGCAGUUUGUCAACUAACUAUCAACACAGCAGUCUUGUUCACCAGCUGCGCAACUUGAGCUUUUAGCUUUAUUGCUUGAAGCCACUGUAUAAGAGGAGGGAAGGUGCAGACUCAUCAAAAAGUCUCAAGGUUGAAACUAGGAAGAGAAGUUUGUCAAGAGUGUGAAUAUUUGCUUUGAAAACAAUUGUUACAAUGAUUUGGUUUCUUUUGAAACUUGAUACAUACUAUGUGUAUGUUGAAUGAAUUGAGAUGCUUAAAUAAAGAACCACUAUUCAAAUAUCAGGAAACUGCAUUUUUCAUACUAAAUUGGUAAAUGAUGUCGCCAUUUCCUGUAUGUAUUUAAAUAACAUAUGUUUCCACAAUUAAUAUUUUUAGGGACUAUUUCUCAACGUAAUGAAAUAGAUUAAAUUUGUACAGCGUUAUAUGAGCUUAAUAUGUGUUUUCUGUUUCCUUAAAAUUGAUGAAAAAUUGUCAGAAGGUAAUGAGACCCGUAUCCAUUACUGCAAUCAUACAAUAAAAAAUACGGGGACAAGCCCACUGCUCAUGUAAUAUGAUUAAACCUUGUUAAGGGGCAUGAGGCAAACAGAGUUACUUUCAAAUGUUAAAGAUGCACUCUCACACUUUGGAUGUUUUGACAACUUUUUUCAUUUUUAGCUCUACUGGCCAAAGGCCAGAAGAGCUUAUGCGAUGGUAAUGUGUACGUAGUAUGUGCAUCUGUAAACAAUCCUCGUUUACAUGAUACAGCCUACAGUUCCUUUCGAAAACCAGCCAGAUCCGCCCAUGUAUGCCUAGUUUAUGGGCCUUGAUAGUAUACAAAAAUCAGUGUGUCAGUAGGCAAUUGCUCGUUAACAUGAUACAGCCUUUUUAGCUCACCUGUCACGUAGUGACAAGGUGAGCUUUUGUGAUCACUCUUCGUCCGCCGUCCGUCCGUCCGUCUGUCCGUUCACAAUUGCUUGUGAACACAAUAGAGGUCACAAUUUUGACCUAAUCUUUAUGAAACUUGGUCAGACUGAUCAUCUCUAUAAAAUCUAGGCCAAGUUCGAUAUUGGGUCAUCUGGGGUCAAAAACUAGGUCACUAGGUCAAUUAGUAGAAAAACCUUGUGAACACAAUAGAGGUCACAAUUUUAGCCUAAUCUCAAUGCAACUUGGUCAGAAUGGUCAUCUCUAUAAAAUCUAGGUCAAGUUCGAUAUUGGGUCAUCCGCGGUCAAUAAUUAGGUCACUAGGUCAAUUAGUAGAAAAACCUUGUGAACACAAUAGAGGUCACAAUUUUAGCCUAAUCUCAAUGCAACUUGGUCAGAAUGAUCAUCUCUAUAAAAUGUAGGUCAAGGUCGAUAUUGGGUCAUCCGCGGUCAACAACUAGGUCACUAGGUCAAUUAGUACAAAAACCUUGUGAACACAAUAGAGGUCACAAUUUUUGCCUAAUCUCAAUGCAACUUGGUCAGAAUAAUCAUCUCUAUAAAAUCUAGGUCAAGUUCGAUAUUGGGUCAUCCGCAGUCAAUAACUAGGUCACUAGGUCAAUUAUUAGAAAAACCUUGUGAACACAACAGAGGUCACAAUUUUGACCUAAUCUUUAUGAAACUUGGUCAGACUGAUCAUCUCUAUGAAAUCUAGGUCAAGUUCGAUAUUGGGUCAUCUGGGGUCAAAAACUAGGUCAGUAGGUCAAUUAGUAGAAAUACCUUGUGAACACAUUAGAGGUCACAAUUUUAGCCUAAUCUCAAUGCAACUUGGUCAGAAUUAUCAUCUCUAUAAAAUCUAGGUCAAGUUCGAUAUUGGGUCAUCCGCGGUCAAUAACUAGGUCACUAGGUCAAUUAGUAGAAAAACCUUGUGAACACAAUAGAAGUCACAAUUUUAGCCUAAUCUCAAUGCAAAUUGGUCAGAAUGAUCAUCGCUGUAAAAUGUAGGUCAAGUUUGAUAUUGGGUCAUUCACGGUCAAUAACUAGGUCACUAGGUCAAUUAGUACAAAAACCUUGUGAACACAAUAGAGGUCACAAUUUUAGCCUAAUCUCAAUGUAAGUUGGUCAGAAUAAUCAUCUCUAUAAAAUCUAGGUCAAGUUCGAUAUUGGGUCAUCCGCAGUCAAUAACUAGGUCACUAGGUCAAUUAUUAGAAAAACCUUGUGAACACAACAGAGGUCACAAUUUUGACCUAAUCUUUAUGAAACUUGGUCAGACUGAUCAUCUCUAUGAAAUCUAGGUCAAGUUCGAUAUUGGGUCAUCUGGGGUCAAAAACUAGGUCAGUAGGUCAAUUAGUAGAAAUACCUUGUGAACACAUUAGAGGUCACAAUUUUAGCCUAAUCUCAAUGCAACUUGGUCAGAAUGAUCAUCUCUAUAAAAUUUAGGUCAAGUUCGAUAUUGGGUCAUCCGCGCCCCGGAUCACGUGGUUUACAUAGACUUAGAUAUGGAAAACUUAACAAAUCUUCUCCAAAACUAGAAGUCCUAGGGCUUUGAUAUUUGGCAUGUAUAAUUUCUUUAUGGACAUCUACCAAGAUUGUUCUAAUUAUGCCUCUGGAGUGAUAAGAGGCCCUGCCCGGGGGUCGCAAGUUUUACAUAGGCUUAUUUAGUGAAAACUUAAAAUCUUGUCUAAAACCACAAGGCCUAGGCAUUUGAUAUAUGGUAUGUAGCUUUACCUUGUGGUUCUCUACCGAGAUUAUUCAAAUUAUGCCCCUGAGUGAUAAGAGGCCCCACCUAGGGGGUCACAAGUUUUACAUAGGCUUAUAUAAGGAAAGUGUUUAAAAAUCUUCUUGUCUGAAAAUGCAAGGCCUACGCAUUCAAUAUUUGGUAUGUAUCAUAACCAAGUGGUCCUCUACCAAGAUUGUUCAAUUUAUGCCCCUGGGGAGAAGAGGCCCUAUCCUGGGGGGAGUCACAAGUUUUGCAUAGGCUUAUAUAGAACAAAAAACUUCUUGUCUAAACCAACAAGACAUUGGCAUUUUAUAUGUGGCAUAACCUAGUGGCCCGCUACCAAGAUUGUUCAAUUUGUGCACCUGUGGUGAAAAGAGGCCUCACCCUGGGUGUCACAAGUUUUACAUAGGCUUACAUAGGAAAAAACAUUAAAAUUUUCUUGUCUGAAGCCACAAGGACUAGGUCUUAAAUAUUUGGUUUGAAGCAUUGCCUACUGAUAGGGUCAUGUGGGGUAAAAAACUAGGUCAGUGGGACAAAUAAAAGAGUGGCCUCUAGGGGCCAUACUUUUCAUUGGAUCUUUAUGAUAAUAGGUCAGAAUGUUCACUUUAUUUAGCAAAGCUACAGGUGAGCGAUACAGGGCCAUCAUGGUCCUCUUGUUGAUUGUAUCUCAAUGAAACUUGUACAGUAUCUACAUAUCCAUAUGAGCUCGGUUCCUUUCGAAAACCAGCCAGAUCCGCCCAUGCAUGCCAAGAUUAUGGGCCUUGAUAAUAAAAAAAAAUAGUGUGUCAGUAAACAAUUGCUCGGUAACACGAUACAGUCUUCAGUUUUGAUUGUAUCUUGAUGAAACUUGUCCAGUAUAUCCAUUAGAGCUCAGUUCCUUUCAAAAACCUGAUCUGCCCAUGUUUCCUGGAUUAUUGGCCUUGAAAUUAUUAGAUGAUGGGCCUUGAUAGUAUAAAAAAUGCUAUUUUGUAAUAAAUGCUUGCGAAUAUGAUACAGUCUUCAGUUUUGAGUAUUCAGAUACCCAUAAGGGGUUGGUUCUUUUCGAAAACAGUGAUGUUGACCACACAAACCCAGCCAGUAGAGCAUAGGCCCUUUUGGGCCUCUUGUUUGUUUUGGAUUGGUACCAUCCAAUCUUUGCGAAAAAUGCAUGGAAACCAGUAAUAUAAGACUACUGACAAAAAAUUCAAUUGCAGACUUUUUUAUUUAAGUGAAAACAUUGAUGUUUUAUGCACUUUUCUUAAACCGUUAGUAACAUUAAUCUUUGAAGGAAAUAUGAAAUCUGGGAUUUGAUGUUUUGUCAGCAAUCUUUUACCAUUGGUUUGCUGAUAUUUACGCAAAAAUUUGCUCAUUCCAAGACAAAACAAAAGUUGUUAAAACGGUAAAUCUGUGAGAAUGCAGCUCUAAAUGUUUUGGCAAACAUGUUUUUGAUUUGGCAGCACAAUCAAUCUUGAACAUUGCUUGAUUUUACUGCUGUAUUAGAAUUUACAGGGGGGAUUUUUUUUUAUUGCUUUUUGUGAUUCAUGCAGUCAUACUUCAUUCCCCAGGGCACAACUUACAAAUAGACAGAACAGGAAAAUGGUCAUUUUAAAAGGUCAAGGACAAUGCAAGUUGAACAAUCAUAUUGUUCAUGGCUUGUAUUUUUGGUAUAUUUUGUUGCAUAUAUAUGCUAUAAAAAAGUUGAAAGUUAAAAAUAACUUCAUAGUUGAAAUGAUGGCUUUGAAUGGUUUUGUCAGUUGAGAAACAGCACUAUUAAGAAAUAUGUUAAUGGUACUUUAUUAUUUUAAUCAAUUUUAGAUAUUUGUAUGAAAAUUAUUAUCUUAUUUUGUACAUGAGACCUUUUAAACAGUUAUUUAUAAUUUAACAAUGUGUAAAUGAUCAAAACUUAAAGCUGCACUUUCACAGAUUGUCAUUUUAGACACUUUAAAAAAUUUGUCUCAAAAGCUGAUUUGGUUAUCAUUCCUUUAAUUCAGUCAUAUUAGAUAAUUCACAACAGAACCAAUCAAAAAUGUUUGGUAAGACUGCCGAAAAGUUCAUUUACAUUAAAUUGUUCGUAAUGCUACUAUACCCAUAAAACAUCAUUUUAGCCAUAAAUAUGACAAAAUGCAAUCUGAUCUUAUUUCAGCAGUCUUAUAUCACUUAAAAUUGGGUCUAUGCAAAAAAUAGUCUAUUUAUAGACCAACAAUAAAAGAGUGCCGGUAGUCAAAACGAUCAAUUAGUGAGAUUGCAGCUUUAAAUACACCUUUUUAAGUCCGCUGGAUUGCCUCAAUCUUUAAAGCUAACAUACUGUUUAAUUGACAGCCAUACUUUUUGUUUAAAAGUGUCACGAUAUGUUUGUACAAUGUGUUU